GUGACUUUCAGUGUGCUUCCAUCUACACGUUCGUGUACCAGAGCAAGAGUCUGACUACAAAAUUCUUUUCUCAGGGUCUCCCUGUGGGUUGCCGCAGUGCCAGGGAAGUAUGUUGUUAGAAGAAAUUGAGCUGGCGAAUACAGUUUUAUUUUUACAAUUCCGGCCUUCAGUACCUAUCCCACAUCUUUUAAGAAUCUCCUCAGCCAGGGAACAGACUCAUUGA
rnacentral:lncRNA from 1 species